rnacentral:lncRNA from 1 species
AGCACUUUGGGAGGCCGAGGCGGGCGGAUCACGAGGUCAGGAGAUCAAGACCAUCCUGGCCAACAUGGCAAAACCCCGUCUCUACUAAAAAAUACAAAAAUUAGCCAGGUGUGGUGGCGGGCGCCUGUAAUCCCAGCUACUCAGGAGUCUGAGGCAGGAGAAUCGCUUGAACCCGGGAGGCGGAGGUUGCAGUGAGCUAAGAUCGCACCACUGUACUCCAGCCUGGGCAACAGAGCGAGACCCUGUCUCAAAAAGAAAAAAAAGAAAAAGAAAAAGAAAGAAAGAAAGAGAGAAAGAAAGAAAAAGAAAGAAAGAAGGAAAGAGAAAGAAAGAAAGAAAAGAAAAAAAAUGAAAUCCCAUAUUCA